UACGAAGGGGGCUAGCGUUGCUCGGAAUCACUGGGCGUAAAGCGCACGUAGGCGGACUCUUAAGUCGGUGGUGAAAUCCUGGAGCUCAACCCCAGAACUGCCUUCGAUACUGAGAGUCUCGAGUCCGGGAGAGGUGAGUGGAACUGCGAGUGUAGAGGUGAAAUUCGUAGAUAUUCGCAAGAACACCAGUGGCGAAGGCGGCUCACUGGCCCGGUACUGACGCUGAGGUGCGAAAGCGUGGGGAGCAAACAGG
rnacentral:rRNA from 1 species